rnacentral:rRNA from 1 species
UAGGGAAUCUUCGGCAAUGGGGGGAACCCUGACCGAGCAACGCCGCGUGAGUGAAGAAGGUUUUCGGAUCGUAAAGCUCUGUUGUUAAGGAAGAACGAGUGUGAGAAUGGAAAGUUCAUACUGUGACGGUACUUAACCAGAAAGGGACGGCUAACUACGUGCCAGCAGCCGCGGUAAUACGUAGGUCCCGAGCGUUGUCCGGAAUCAUUGGGCGUAAAGCGAGCGCAGGCGGUCAAUUAAGUCUGAUGUGAAAGCCCCCGGCUCAACCGGGGAGGGUCAUUGGAAACUGGUUGACUUGAGUGCAGAAGAGGAGAGUGGAAUUCCAUGUGUAGCGGUGAAAUGCGUAGAUAUAUGGAGGAACACCAGUGGCGAAGGCGACUCUCUGGUCUGUAACUGACGCUGAGGCUCGAAAGCGUGGGUAGCAAACAGG